GAUGAACGCUAGCGGCAGGCUUAACACAUGCACGUCGAGGGGUAUUAGUUUUCGGACUAAGAGACCGGCGCACGGGUGCGUAACGCGUAUGCAAUCUGCCUUUCACAGAGGGAUAGCCCAGAGAAAUUUGGAUUAAUACCUCAUAGUAUUAUAGACUGGCAUCGGUUUAUAAUUAAAGUCACAACGGUGAAAGAUGAGCAUGCGUCCCAUUAGCUAGUUGGUAAGGUAACGGCUUACCAAGGCGACGAUGGGGAGGGGUCCUGAGCGGGAGAUCCCCCACACUGGUACUGAGACACGGACCAGACUCCUACGGGAGGCAGCAGUGAGGAAUAUUGGUCAAUGGACGCAAGUCUGAACCAGCCAUGCCGCGUGCAGGAGGACGGUCCUAUGGAUUGUAAACUGCUUUUGUACGAGAAGAAACACUCCUACGUGUAGGAGCUUGACGGUAUCGUAAGAAUAAGGAUCGGCUAUCUCCGUGCCAGCCGCCGCGGUAAAAC
rnacentral:rRNA from 1 species